CCGGCAUCGGAUGAUCUAAGCCAUGCGAGUCAUUGUAGUAAUACAAGGCAGACGGCUCAGUAACGCGUCCUUACCUAACCUAUGGACGGGAAUAACCUCGGGAAACUGACUAUAAUGCCCGGUAGAACAUUAUGCCUGGAAUGGUUUAUGUUCCAAAUGAUUUAUCGCCGUAGGAUGGGACUGCGGCCUAUCAGUUUGUUGGUGAGGUAAUGGCCCACCAAGACUAUUACAGGUACGGGCUCUGAGAGGAGUAGCCCGGAGAUGGGUACUGAGACACGGACCCAGGCCCCUAUGGGGCGCAGCAGACAAGAAAACUUUGCAAUGGCGGAAAGCCCAACAAGGUUAAUCCAAUGGGUUCCUGCUAAAGGAACCUUUUGCCGGUCCUAAAAACACCGAUGAAUAAGGGGUGGACAAGUUCCGGUGUCAGCCGCCGCGGUAAAACCAGCACCUCAAGUGGUCAGGAUGAUUAUUGGGCCUAAAGCAUCCGUAGCCUGCUCUGUUAGUUUUCGGUUAAAUCUGUACGCUCAACGUACAGGCUGCCGGGAAUACUGCAGAGCUAGGGAGUGGGAGAGGUAGACGGUACUCGGUAGGAAGGGGUAAAAUCCUUUGAUCUAUUGAUGACCACCUGUGGGGAAGGCGGUCUACCAGAACACGUCCGACGGUGAGGGAUGAAAGCUGGGGGAGCAAACCGGAUUAGAUACCCGGGUAGUCCCAGCUGUAAACCAUGCAAACUCAGUGAUGCAUUGGCUUGUGGCCAAUGCAGUGCUGCAGGGAAGCCGUUAAGUUUGCCGCCUGGGAAGUACGUACGCCAGUAUGAAACUCAAAGGAAAUGACGGAU
rnacentral:rRNA from 1 species